CCGCACAUCCCUUAAAUUUCGGCGAGCCAUUGUCGCCUAUUCACCACGCCGUCGCGCCCCAACACCUUGCCGCCGAGAACCACAACUAGUCCAAUCGCCUUCGUCUCUGUCAGGGAAGCCAACACGACAAGAAUCGAAGACCGCUGUGCUGCAAGGGGCGACCCCCAUACCUUGAAGAAUUCAAAAGCUCUAUCAGAGAGAGAGAGAGAGUGAGAGAGAGAUGAUGGAGAUGAGUCGAGGAGAGAGGCGAGGACUGGCGGAGGCGGNGCAUCAUGCCGAAUUCCUCUGGCAAUUGGAAAAUUGUAGCCGCACAUCCCUUAAAUUUCGGCGAGCCAUUGUCGCCUAUUCACCACGCCGUCGCGCCCCAACACCUUGCCGCCGAGAACCACAACUAGUCCAAUCGCCUUCGUCUCUGUCAGGGAAGCCAACACGACAAGAAUCGAAGACCGCUGUGCUGCAAGGGGCGACCCCCAUACCUUGAAGAAUUCAAAAGCUCUAUCAGAGAGAGAGAGAGAGAUGAUGGAGAUGAGUCAGAGGGAGAGAGGCGAGGAGCGGCGGAGGCGGCCAGCCGCUGCUGUCAGCCGGACGUUUGAGAAGGUGGCGAUUAGGGCUCGAUUUUGAGAGAGGGAGAAAGAGAGAUAGUCAUGUGAGACAGGAGGCGCCGCGGCGUGGCUGCCGAUGGCGGCCCUCGCCGGAUCUGAGGGAGGUAAGAGGCGACGAGGAGAAUGGAAGGGAGUGUGAGGUUUCUGAAGUUAGAGAGAGAGA
rnacentral:lncRNA from 1 species